rnacentral:rRNA from 1 species
CCGACCUGCACGAAUGGCGUAAUGAUGGCCAGGCUGUCUCCACCCGAGACUCAGUGAAAUUGAACUCGCUGUGAAGAUGCAGUGUACCCGCGGCAAGACGGAAAGACCCCGUGAACCUUUACUAUAGCUUGACACUGAACAUUGAGCCUUGAUGUGUAGGAUAGGUGGGAGGCUUUGAAGUGUGGACGCCAGUCUGCAUGGAGCCGACCUUGAAAUACCACCCUUUAAUGUUUGAUGUUCUAACGUUGACCCGUAAUCCGGGUUGCGGACAGUGUCUGGUGGGUAGUUUGACUGGGGCGGUCUCCUCCUAAAGAGUAACGGAGGAGCACGAAGGUUGGCUAAUCCUGGUCGGACAUCAGGAGGUUAGUGCAAUGGCAUAAGCCAGCUUGACUGCGAGCGUGACGGCGCGAGCAGGUGCGAAAGCAGGUCAUAGUGAUCCGGUGGUUCUGAAUGGAAGGGCCAUCGCUCAACGGAUAAAAGGUACUCCGGGGAUAACAGGCUGAUACCGCCCAAGAGUUCAUAUCGACGGCGGUGUUUGGCACCUCGAUGUCGGCUCAUCACAUCCUGGGGCUGAAGUAGGUCCCAAGGGUAUGGCUGUUCGCCAUUUAAAGUGGUACGCGAGCUGGGUUUAGAACGUCGUGAGACAGUUCGGUCCCUAUCUGCCGUGGGCGCUGGAGAACUGAGGGGGGCUGCUCCUAGUACGAGAGGACCGGAGUGGACGCAUCACUGGUGUUCGGGUUGUCAUGCCAAUGGCACUGCCCGGUAGCUAAAUGCGGAAGAGAUAAGUGCUGAAAGCAUCUAAGCACGAAACUUGCCCCGAGAUGAGUUCUCCCUGACUCCUUGAGAGUCCUGAAGGAACGUUGAAGACGACGACGUUGAUAGGCCGGGUGUGUAAGCGCAGCGAUGCGUUGAGCUAACCGGUACUAAUGAACCGUGAGG